UACGUAGGGUGCGAGCGUUGUCCGGAAUUAUUGGGCGUAAAGAGCUCGUAGGCGGUCCGUCACGUCGGGUGUGAAAAUCCAGGGCUCAACCCUGGACCUGCACCCGAUACGGGCGGACUAGAGUUCGGUAGGGGAGACUGGAAUUCCUGGUGUAGCGGUGAAAUGCGCAGAUAUCAGGAGGAACACCAAUUGCGAAGGCAGCUCGCUGGGACGUUACUGACGCUGAGACGCGAAAGCGUGGGGAGCAAACAGG
rnacentral:rRNA from 1 species